GGAGGUCCGAACCCACGAGCGUUGAAAAGCUCGGGGAUGACUUGUGGGUAGCGGUGAAAUUCCAAUCGAGCCCGGAGAUAGCUGGUUCUCCCCGAAAUAGCUUUAGGGCUAGCCUCAAGGUGAGAGAUACGGAGGUAGAGCACUGAAUGUCCUAGGGGGUAUUGCACCUACCGAAGACUAUCAAACUCCGAAUGCCGUCAUCUUAUACUUGGGAGUCAGACUGUGGGUGAUAAGAUUCAUAGUCGAAAGGGCAACAGCCCAGAUCGUCAGCUAAGGUCCCUAAAUGUAAGUUAAGUGGUAAAGGAUGUGGGAUUGCACAGACAACCAGGAUGUUGGCUUAGAAGCAGCCACUCAUUCAAAGAGUGCGUAAUAGCUCACUGGUCGAGUGAUCCUGCGCCGAAGAUUUCCGGGGCUAAAACUU
rnacentral:rRNA from 1 species